AUGGCGAGCGGCGACCCGAAGCCGGACGAAAACUACUCCUCCGAUGGCGGUGACACCACCGACGCCGAGUCCUCCGACGAGUCCCCGCAUCAGCCGCGGAGGCCCCCCCGCGCCAACCCCAUCCUGACGCGCCUCUCCGUGUCGCGGAAUCCGAGCCCGCUCUCUGCCGCCACCGCGGCGCCUGGGGUCUGCCUCCUCCGCUUCGCCUGGGAGUCGGCCGCCGGUUCCCUCGUCGGCGCCGUCGUUGGAUAUGGAAAAGGUUUGGUCACUACAAAAGGGUUUAAAGGCUCAUUUGCUGACGCUGCCUCUUCUGCUAAGAUAUUUGCUGUUCUUGCCGGCGUUCAAAGCUUGGUUUCUUGCUCUUUGAGAAAGCUACGUGGCAAAGAUGACGUUAUUAACGCAGGAGUUGCAGGCUGUUGCACUGGCCUUGCUUUGAGUUUUCCAGGUGCACCGCAAACUCUGAUUCAGAGCUGUCUGGCCUUUGGAACUUUCUCGUACAUCAUAGAAAAGCUCAAUAGGCAGCAACCUGCGCUUGCGCUACCGUCAGCUGCUGGCCUGAAGGAUGUGAAGGCUGGCCCGAGUGUUCUUCCCCCCUUCACGCUUAACAUGCCGCACGAUGCGAUGGAAGUUUAG
rnacentral:rRNA from 1 species